AGAGACCGGCGCACGGGUGCGUAACGCGUAUGCAAUCUACCUUUUACAGAGGGAUAGCCCAGAGAAAUUUGGAUUAAUACCUCAUAGCAUUGCAUGAUGGCAUCAUCGAGCAAUUAAAGUCACAACGGUAAAAGAUGAGCAUGCGUCCCAUUAGCUAGUUGGUAAGGUAACGGCUUACCAAGGCUACGAUGGGUAGGGGUCCUGAGAGGGAGAUCCCCCACACUGGUACUGAGACACGGACCAGACUCCUACGGGAGGCAGCAGUGAGGAAUAUUGGACAAUGGGCGCAAGCCUGAUCCAGCCAUGCCGCGUGCAGGAUGACGGUCCUAUGGAUUGUAAACUGCUUUUGUACGAGAAGAAACACUCCUAUGUAUAGGAGCUUGACGGUAUCGUAAGAAUAAGGAUCGGCUAACUCCGUGCCAGCAGCCGCGGUAAUACGGAGGAUCCAAGCGUUAUCCGGAAUCAUUGGGUUUAAAGGGUCCGUAGGCGGUUUAAUAAGUCAGUGGUGAAAGCCCAUCGCUCAACGGUGGAACGGCCAUUGAUACUGUUAAACUUGAAUUAUUAGGAAGUAACUAGAAUAUGUAGUGUAGCGGUGAAAUGCUUAGAGAUUACAUGGAAUACCAAUUGCGAAGGCAGGUUACUACUAAUGGAUUGACGCUGAUGGACGAAAGCGUGGGUAGCGAACAGGAUUAGAUACCCUGGUAGUCCACGCCGUAAACGAUGGAUACUAGCUGUUGGGAGCAAUCUCAGUGGCUA
rnacentral:rRNA from 1 species